UCGAGAUACAAUAUAACGUUUUGCAAAUUUCGUCGACUGACGCCAUGAUGGAUUUUUCACAGGAGUUGAUUAAAAUUAGUGUAACGAAUACGGCUUUCCAUUAUUCUACCUAUUUUAAAAGCCGUCAUUCCGUCCAGAUGUUGGCCCACCAGGAGUCCAUGCACCUCUCCUGCUCCAACUGUAUUUUGUCUCCCCACAGCGGGCCCUCCCCAAUCUUCGGCAGCCAUGUCAUGUAGAACAGGAUCACGAUUAGACUCCCUCCACUUGAUAGCAGCGAGGCAGUACUGUCCAUCCAUCGGCAGGUUGCUGUCAGAACGGUCUCUGAUGCCCACACACUCGUCGAAGUUGCCCAGGUGGUACGAUGACCCAUAGAGCAAACCCUGAGGCGACUU